UACAGAGGUCCCGAGCGUUGUUCGGAUUCAUUGGGCGUAAAGGGUGCGUAGGUGGCGCUGUAAGUGGGGUGUGAAAUCCCGGGGCUUAACCCCGGGACUGCAUUCCAUACUGCGGUGCUUGAGGACUGGAGAGGAGACUGGAAUUUACGGUGUAGCAGUGAAAUGCGUAGAUAUCGUAAGGAAGACCAGUGGCGAAGGCGAGUCUCUGGACAGUUACCGACGCUGAGGCACGAAGGCCAGGGGAGCAAACGGG
rnacentral:rRNA from 1 species